UGCCAGAAGAAUCAAGCGGUCAGUCCGCCGCCGUCCAUCUUCGAGUGGCUGCAGCCAUUUCGGCCCAUCAUCACCGUGAGCAAGUUUCCGCCCAUUGUCGAAUUCAUUGCGCAGAGGAUACAAGCACAGUUUUCUAAUUAUAUUUAUGAAGAUUUAAGUCGUCCACAAACGUAUGAUCGUCCCACAUAUAAACCAUACGUGGCAUCAUCAUCUACAUCUACUACAAAAGCACAAAAUGGCGAUAAUAGUAGUUCCGAGGAAGAUAGCAUAACCACAACAACAGAAUAUUUUAUGUUUUCGACGAAUUCACCGCCAAAACUUGUUUUAGUUGAUCAAUAUGAAUUGACAUCAACGCCUAAUUUUAAUCAAACUGUAGAAAUUGAGUAUCAGUUGAGAAAUGUUAUCAAAAUCAACAAAACCAUCGACAAUAAAACUAACAAAAUUGAAUUAGAACAAGCAGUGCAUUUAAUUAUGCAAGAAAAUAAUCUAAAAGAAAACUUUACGCAUGUGUUUGAAAAGUUUGAUUUAGAAAAUGAAGAAAAUGAAAGUUUAUUGAGUUAUAAAGAUGUGUCGAGUUUAUUUUCAAAUAAUAUUGAUGACGAUAUAGUUGAAUACGUACUACGUGAUGAUAGAAACCCAAUAAAAAACAAAGUAAAUGAAAAAAAUAAUGCCAAGAAUAGAAAUUUGAUUGCGCUGACAAAAAUUGGGAAUCAUGUGUAUGUCAAUGUUAUUAACUUUAAAUGUCAACCAAAAACAUAAUAAAAAUAUGAAAAAUUUGUUAUUUUUAAAUGAAAAUAAAUUACUUUAAUAAAA